CACGUAGGGUGCGAGCGUUGUCCGGAAUCAUUGGGCGUAAAGGGCGCGUAGGUGGCCCGGUCAGCGUGCGGUGAAAGCUCGGGGCUCAACCCCGAGUCGGCCGUGCGAACUGCUGGGCUUGAGCACUGUAGAGGCAGGCGGAAUUCCGGGUGUAGCGGUGGAAUGCGUAGAGAUCCGGAAGAACACCGGUGGCGAAGGCGGCCUGCUGGGCAGUGGCUGACACUGAGGCGCGACAGCGUGGGGAGCAAACAGG
rnacentral:rRNA from 1 species